rnacentral:misc_RNA from 1 species
GAUGAAGAACGUAGCGAAAUGCGAUAAGUAAUGUGAAUUGCAGAAUUCAGUGAAUCACCGAAUCUUUGAACGCACAUUGCGCCCCCUGGUAUUCCGGGGGGCAUGCCUGUUCGAGCGUCAUUUCAACCCUCAAGCUCUGCUUGGUAUUGAGUCCAUGUCAGCAAUGGCAGGCUCCAAAAUCAGUGGCGGCGCCGCUGGGUCCUGAACGUAGUAAUAUCUCUCGUUACAGGUGCUCGGCGUGCUUCUGCCAAAACCCCAAUUUUUCUAUGGUUGACCUCGGAUCAGGUAGGGAUACCCGCUGAACUUAAGCAUAUCAAUAAGCGGAGGA